rnacentral:lncRNA from 1 species
UGCAGUGAGUUCAUGGAAGUGCUUUCCAUUUUGACUCUUGCAGUGAUCAUCAGCUCCGCAUCCCGUGACGUUUUCGUAUGCACUGUGAAGGCUACUGGAGGGUGGACAGAUGGCUUCAUCUUGAGCCUAAGAGAUACCCAGAUCUGUUUGCAAUAAUGAAGAGCUGCAAAAGCUUUAUUUGGAUGCUGGAGGAAGAAGAAAGCUCUAACGUGCUGGUGAGAAGCAGCCUGGGCUGAUUAAGCUUCUGACUUGGAAAUCUGGAAAAGGGGCCUAGUGAGGAAUCCUGAAAUUGCUUUGUCACAGCACUGGAUCCAAGAGAGGAUGAGUUUGGAUCCUUGCUCUUCCACGUGGAGAAAGAUCCCCAGGAGGAGGAGGAGGAGAGCUAAAGCAGUGCAGAGGAAGGGGAGGUUAAGUGAGCUGCUGAAUGCACCCUGGUCUCUACUUCUCAUGCUAAGAAGCAAUUGAAAUAUUAAAGGUAAUAAAACAUGAUUUAGUUCAUGCUGUGAACCUCA